GCUUGUAUUUUGCUGGCAAACUUGUAGCUUCGAAUGGAUAAGAGUUGAGAGCCUCUGUGGUCUUGGGCGAUAACUGCUCCACCACUCAUGCUAUUUCGCCUGCAAUAAACAAUGCAAAGAGAGAGUGCCCAUUCUGAGACAGGAUUAUCAAUAAGGUCCGAUCUUGGAAUUCUUAACUGAUGGCUUUGCAAGUUGUUAAUGGGAAAGGCUUUCAUUAUGGAAUCAUGGAGAUUUUGGGUCCUUAUGACUGCCCUUG
rnacentral:lncRNA from 1 species